UUUUUCCAGAGAAUUCGGUUAAGUUCCAUAGAAACUGAAUACUAAUAUGAUUUCUGUAGCAUGGAAGACAAAUAGGAAACAGAGAAAAAAUAGACUCAUCAGAAAUAUUAGCUGCUCGCUAUCAAAAUAUCUGACAAUGCCACAAGUACAAUUUAUAAACAGGAACAUUUAGAGCCUAACUUUUCACUAAAAAGCAAAUUCCCUGCUUUGUCCCUUUUAGGGACAGGAUUCAAUUACACAAAAAUAUGCAGCAGACUUAAGGACUGCAUGUAAGAUUAAGAUAACUGGUAUUUCAUGGUAAAUGAUUAAAUUAGCUGACACAGUUUUAUCCUGAACUUUGCCAUUAAAACUGACAUUUUUGUGCCAUGCACAUUGUAGGCUGCUGGUAAUCUAAAGUGCCUUUCUUCUUUCAAAGACUUUAAAUAGCUAAAAAACUCUUGUUCUUUACUCUAUUUGCAAAUGUCUGGAAAAUAUAUCUAUAAUAUAAGAAGAUGAACUAAGCACAGGACUUUUUUUUUCCUCAUCUAACAAAUACCUUGAGAAAACAGCAAGGAGGUUCCAAAUGUCCAGAUUAAGCUCUGCAACAUGCACUUUAAUCAAGUAAUUUAUGUGACUCUACAGAGAUGAGAACAUGCUGUCCUCCUCAUGUGACAAUGAGGUUCUAAAACACGGCUGAUACCCAGGUUGCUCUACAGAUCAGCAGCAACAGCGGCUCCUUCUAGUCCCUGCAUGUGUUGGUCAAGUUCAAAAAGAAUGUGAAAGUUGGGCCCAGUUACACCAGCUCUCAGUUUGGUUUACUUCCUCUCACUCCUCCGGCUGAGGUCCAUUUGGCCGAGAAACUUGGAACAUAAAGUCUGCUAGCACUUCAUACUUUGUUUUGGGAAACCCUGCUGCAAACCACUGUCUCCCAUAAAUCCCACCUCAAAUAUUUGGAUUUAAAGAUGCCCUCUGUGUUGCUUACUUCACCUCUUGGCACACACCAGUGCAGUGACACAUGACAACGUGAGGCCUAGGGCAGCUUCUAGUCAUUGCUUCCAGAGUGGGAAUGAGCCAGGACUCCUCCACAGUCCUGAACAACACCAACCUGCAACAGUGGAGCUUCAGCAGCUGAGAAUUUGCUCCUCAGGCAUCAUACAGAUAUUUGCUGAUCCCAGAAAGCCACAGAACAAGAAAGCCUGGUUGCAGGCGCAGCAAUCCCACCUGUUAGAUGUUUCAUUACAGAAGUGUGCAUUCAAAGCCUUAAACAUUCAGUCCUUGAUUACAAGAUAUAUCUCUGCAGCACAGGACAGCACGGAGAGCUUUUCUGGCCUAAUCACAAGAAUCAGCACAUACCUGUUUAUCUCAGUGCUUUGCUGCCAGUUGCUACGCGAAACUCGUUGAACCCACCUGCCUGAGCUACCUUUAUACUUCGAAGAAGUUUAUAUCUGCCCUAGCUGGAGACCUAAACUUCUGAAAUCUAUAGGCAAAGUGAUGACUAAUUCAAAUGCCCUUAUAUAUGGAUCUUGCUUGCUCCACUGCCACUAUGGGACUACUCUGGAAGCACAGAAGGAACCUUAUCAGAAGCUUUGACUACUACAGAAUGAGGCUACUUACUCUACUGCAAGGCAGAGAAAAAUGAAUUUAAAAGGACAAAUAACACAUAUUCUCCAUACUGUGCAUGACCUGCCAAAUGCAUGCCGGCCUCAUUACCUGAUGCCUGGCUUCCUUCAAGACAAGUGGAUCAAGGACAAAUUCUCUGAUUUAGGCAAAGUAGCUCUAUAGGCAGAGUACUGCACUUCUUGGUAAGGCUCACCACUAUGUCCAACAAAAACAGGUGACAGGGGGAGUCAGAAAUUUUUAGCAAAUAAGUGAAAGAUAGAAUAUAUUAAAUUAAGUUUAUAGAAGAACAAGAAGGAUGACCAAACAAGAGCCAUGCUGGCCAUUUCUUAAUUACUAUAUCUACUAAAGAAAUAGACAAUAUUUAUGAAAAUUACAUAGACUCCACGUAGCACAAAAGAGUUACUGUUGUUCUUCCCACUCCUUUAAUGAAAUUUAUGAUUCUGCAAUUUAUUAAAUCCUUCUCUCACAUGUGGAAAUACAAAAAAAAUUAAAACCUUCAAGACACUUCCAGAGGAGCACAAGAGGCAGCCAGCUGAUGUAAACAGCAUGUCAGGGUUUUAUGCAGGAACUAGGAGCACUAGAAAGGAGAACCACAUACUUUAGAAAAAUUCCUGAUGGUGUUGGUGUUCAGGUUCGGCUGUCCAGGAAGAGAACUAAUGUGUUCUCAAAUCAUUACUGUGGAUUUCUGGUGACUGUAGUGCCAUUCAUGAAGCAGUUGCCCAGAUCUGUCAUGUGAACAGCCAAGAUUUCAUAUCUUUCUGACUAGAUUUUAAGUGGAAUAUUGUGGGGCCCUCAUGUUUCAUGCCCUGGAAUUACAAACUGUGUGGUGACUAUCUUAGCACUUAACAUAUAAAUUAAUUUAGUAUAAAAAACAGCCCUAAAGACUGCAAGCUUUGUUAUCUGCACAUCAGUGUCUUUUUCAGUGUUUUAAGAAAAAAAACAUGUACAUACAAAGACCCUGAGAUUUCCACAGAAACCUCUGGUUAAAAAGAAAUGACAACAGACUCACAUUCAAGGGGAAAGGACAAUAUGGCUAAGUGUAAAGAACACCUGGGGUAUAUGUAAUAUUACAGUUAUUUUUCUAUGCUUCCUCUAGGAUAAACCAAAGACCUUGUUUUGCUGGACGCUGAGUGCCCUAAAGUCCCAUUACACAUCUCAGGAAAGAACCUCAAUGGUUUUAUUGGGACCCAUAUCUACACAUAGAACAUGGCUCAUGGCCUUUGAAGAUGAAAAGAUUUUUUUUUUUUCUGCUUCCAUUUGCUGCCUUUUGGUUAUGUUCCUAUAUGGACACACAGUCCCCAGAUAUCUGUUCCCUAAUCAGGGACAUCAAUAACAUCCUCAGAGGGAAAACUCUGGAACACCUAUGAAAGUCAGAAGUGUGAGGAAUAUAUCUCAGAUGAUGCAGAUGCAGUCACUGCUGUAUGAUCAGAUAAGCAACAUUGCAAGUUCAUUUUUGUAUGCUAAAUAAAAUAAAAAAGUCAAUAUUUACACAUAACCUUCAAGGCUCUUACAUUCGCA